UGUUGUCAUCCUUAUAUGUUGCCUGGAAUUGCAGAAGCCAGUCUUAGCACCUUGAGGAGGUGCUUGCCUCAGGGGAGAGGCCAGCAUGCUUAUAUUUGCAGAGUAGACAGAUGGAAAACACCUGGGUCCUUCAUGAUGUCUGUGAAUUACCAGUUGCCAAAAUAAGCUGAAGUCUGACAAUUGCUCAGUAGGACCAGACACGGGCCUGCUCACUUGGUUUCACUUGCCAAUGACCACUCUCUUGAUACAUCCAAGCCCAGGGGAGUACCAGUGGAGGUAGCCAUUUCAGGCUCAGGACAUCUAGUGGACAUGCACCAUCUACUGCAGAAGGCCAUCCGAGCAACAGCUUCUGCAAACCCGAG